CAAUAGCGUAUAUUAAAGUUGUUGCAGUUAAAAAGCUCGUAGUUGGAUUUGUGGUGGUGCCCGUGGUCCAAAAUGUUUUGGUGCCGUUGGGCGCCGCCAUCCUUGGGUGGAACUUGUGGGGCAUUAGGUUGUUUCGCAGGGGAUGCCCAUCGUUUACUGUGAAAAAAUUAGAGUGUUCAAAGCAGGCUUACGCCGUUGAAUAGAUUAGCAUGGAAUAAUGAGAUAGGACUUUGGUACUAUUUUGUUGGUUUGCGCACCGAAGUAAUGAUUAAUAGGGACAGUUGGGGGUAUUCGUAUUCCAUUGUCAGAGGUGAAAUUCUUGGAUUUUUGGAAGACGAACUACUGCGAAAGCAUUUACCAAGGAUGUUUUCAUUAAUCAAGAACGAAAGUUAGGGGAUCGAAGACGAUCAGAUACCAU
rnacentral:rRNA from 1 species